AUCACCAUCUUUCGGCUGAGAUUGCAAGUUUUCACUUUUCUAUCUGUUUUUUGGGAUUGCCUACGGUAUCUGAUGUCCAAAGUUGAAAAAAUGUGUUUGGACAUUUCGUUUUUCUUAGGCAGAAAGUGAAAUCAGGCUUUGCGACACUGUUAGCUUCUUAUAACCAUAAGCUACCUGUUACUUUUAUACCUGUUUACAUCCUACUUAUCAACUUGGUUUUGUUUUGUUUUCCUGAGUCAGUCUUGUUUUAUAACUUGGUUUGGUUUUUGUCUCCCUAUGUCUGUUGUGUUUUAUAAUGUUACUGUUACGUUCGUACUUAUGCAGGUUAUGUUUCGCUUGCAUCUCUGGCGUGCAAGUGGAUUCUUAAGUCGAUAUCCUGGUUACUAAUUCGAUCUUCUUCAAUUGUUUGAAGAACACCUACUGUCAUUUAUUGAUUUGUAAUUGUAAUACCAAGUCUUUAUGACCCCAAAUAUAAAUAAAGAAAUUUCUCAUUUUUGUAUUUGAGUUGCUGCAUAAUCUCUUAGUAGCAAAAAAUUUAACCUCCGUAAUCGAACCAUGUAGUUUCGAUAACCAAAGC
rnacentral:lncRNA from 1 species